rnacentral:rRNA from 1 species
CCUACGGGAGGCAGCAGUGGGGAAUAUUGCACAAUGGGCGCAAGCCUGAUGCAGCCAUGCCGCGUGUGUGAAGAAGGCCUUCGGGUUGUAAAGCACUUUCAGCGGGGAGGAAGGCGUUAAGGUUAAUAACCUUGGCGAUUGACGUUACCCGCAGAAGAAGCACCGGCUAACUCCGUGCCAGCAGCCGCGGUAAUACGGAGGGUGCAAGCGUUAAUCGGAAUUACUGGGCGUAAAGCGCACGCAGGCGGUCUGUCAAGUCGGAUGUGAAAUCCCCGGGCUCAACCUGGGAACUGCAUUCGAAACGGGCAGGCUAGAGUCUUGUAGAGGGGGGUAGAAUUCCAGGUGUAGCGGUGAAAUGCGUAGAGAUCUGGAGGAAUACCGGUGGCGAAGGCGGCCCCCUGGACAAAGACUGACGCUCAGGUGCGAAAGGGUGGGGAGCAAACAGGAUUAGAUACCCGAGUAGUC